CUGCUAGGCUACUGAUCCUCCACAGAGUUCCACUCCAGUCCUACUCCUGGUUGUUAAAGCCCCACAUACUGAAGCCCAGGAUCUCUGAACUGUGGGAACUUCAGACAUCGCUGAAUUCCUCCAAUGACUUCGGUCCAGGAUUCAGGCGCCUAAUCUGGGCCUGGCGCUUGCCAGGCCAGCUUCCCUGCCAUUCUUUGCAAGAACUGUGUGUACAGCAUCGGACUUACUUUCCCAGAAGUGCUUCUGGAACCAGAGUCCACACAAAGGGGCUGUUAAAUGUGCUUUCCUCCUUUUGGCCCAGCUGGCUCCUGAGCUUCAGGUCACACAGAGCUCACAGUUCCUAUCGACUUUUCCCAAAGGAUCCCUGGGCUCCUGCAGGAGCCAGCCCGUCCCUGGGGCAGGAAGUUCUGUUUACUCUGUCUUGGAGCCAGGUGCUCAUCCAUAAAAGGGAAACGAGUCCUUUAGGAAAAGGGCUGGGUGCUUGGAAAUUCUUUAAAAGUGAAAGCCCCAAGGCUGCUGUCUGUUGUUCUGUACUUCGGCUUGAUACAGUUUUUCUGUACAUAAAAGCACAGGCCGUGGGGAUUGGCUGAAGGGUACAUCUAAGAAACAACAUCUAAUAAACAAAAAGUGUGGAGAGAAUGCCGCGGGAACUCUCAACACUGCGCAACUGGGCCAAA
rnacentral:lncRNA from 1 species